ensembl:lncRNA
AGGCUACUAGGAGGGCAUAUGACAGAGGUUCGUGACCUAGCCUGGGGGUCAGGUCUGGGUGGGGGAAGCCCUUAAGAACCUGGCCUACCUCCUCUCCUGCAGGCAAUGAGGGGAUGGACGUGGGAAGGGCAGGCACAGCUCCUAUCCACCUAAAGUCACUUUUAAGAGCCAGAGUCUGCUGGCUGGUGGCCCUCAACUUGGGCCAAGCUGAACUGGGUGACUUCUCUCUUCUCCAUUAUUCUACACUCACUGCUGGGGGAAGGCUUGGCCCUGCUUCUUUGCUGUGUCCUCCACCCUAGUGGCAGAUUCUCUGAAUGAGCCUGCUGAGCAACCAUCAAGGCACAAACUGCCUCAGUCAAGCACCACUUAGGUGACUGGGCACGAGGGUGCCAGGGCCUACCCACACUCAGGCUCUCCUGUGGCCCCGGCCCAUGUGGCCUUGAGCCUCGCAGUAUGCCAGACCCUAUUUUCUGCACUUCACAUGCAUUAACAGAAUUAUUCUUCCCAACAACCUUAGAGGUAGGCAUGAUUAUUAAGCCCAUUUUAUUUCUAAGGAAACUGGGGUAAAGGGAAGUUGAAUGUCCACCCCAAGGUCAUGCAUCUAGUAAGUGGCAAAGCUGGAAAAUUAACACAGACCGUCUGGACUUCUGACCCAGGCUCAGCUUCUGCCCUACCUGGGAGCCUCUUCUCCCUACUCUGCCCCCAUGUGAAUGCCUGGGCCCUGAGGAGAGGACACUAGCCUUCUCUCUGUUCCUGAAGACACUGGGAAAAGAAAGGCUGAAAGGCUGGUGUCCAGGGCCAAGCCUGACUCACCUUUGGGGCCCCAGGGUGCAGAAUGAGGUCUCUCCCCUCUCUUGCCCAUCCAGCCAUCCUUCUGGAAAGUGCUGAGUCCAAUGUAUAGUGGUUAAGACACAGGCUCCUUUGCCAGGUGGCCAGCAUUUGAAUUGUGGUUGUGCCACUUACUAGUUGUGUGGCCUUGAGCAAGUUACCUAAUCAUUCUAACCUCAUUGUCUCAUCUGUCAAAUGGGGAUGAUGAUGGUGGUAACUAUAUCAUAGGGUUGUCACAAAGAUUAAACAGAUUGUUUGCAAAGUGCUUAGGACAGCACUUGACACUACAGAGUAAAUAUAAUGAUUGGCUGUUUGUAGUUUUGCUGUCUCCCAGGGCCUGAGGUGACAGACAAGUGCUGCUCUGAGUUCUGCCUUGGACAUUUCCAAGCAAAGUUAUUGCCUUUGAGUGUGGAGACUGAGAAUAGUUGAUAAAUUUUUUUUUUUUUUGCCUUGUCAGAGAUCCAUAGAGCCUGCAGCUGAAAAAAAAAAACCCAGAAACUAUCUAGACCAGCGACUAACAUCCCCCCACCUCCCACCCUUGCUCAAUGAAUGAGAAACUGAGGUCCAAGAAGGAGGCAGGACUGGCCCAAUGUCACACAGACAGUAACAGCAAAGGGGCUAUGAGCUUUGACCUUUCAGUCACAGCUCUAGUCUAGCCUGGUUGCUAAGUAGUCAAGCUUGGAUUCAAAUCUGGGUUUUGGCACUCGAGAAUACUUAAUGACUGUGUCCCUUAAGCAAGGGACUUAACUCAUAGGAGCCUCAGUUUCCUCAUCUGUUAAAUGGGGAUGAUAAUAUCUACCUCACAGACUUGUUGAGAGGAUGAAGUAGAAC